ACUUAAAUUGAAGAGUUUGAUCAUGGCUCAGAUUGAACGCUGGCGGCAGGCCUAACACAUGCAAGUCGAGCGGUAGCACAGAGAGCUUGCUCUCGGGUGACGAGCGGCGGACGGGUGAGUAAUGUCUGGGAAACUGCCUGAUGGAGGGGGAUAACUACUGGAAACGGUAGCUAAUACCGCAUAACGUCGCAAGACCAAAGUGGGGGACCUUCGGGCCUCAUGCCAUCAGAUGUGCCCAGAUGGGAUUAGCUAGUAGGUGGGGUAACGGCUCACCUAGGCGACGAUCCCUAGCUGGUCUGAGAGGAUGACCAGCCACACUGGAACUGAGACACGGUCCAGACUCCUACGGGAGGCAGCAGUGGGGAAUAUUGCACAAUGGGCGCAAGCCUGAUGCAGCCAUGCCGCGUGUGUGAAGAAGGCCUUCGGGUUGUAAAGCACUUUCAGCGGGGAGGAAGGCGUUAAGGUUAAUAACCUUAGCGAUUGACGUUACCCGCAGAAGAAGCACCGGCUAACUCCGUGCCAGCAGCCGCGGUAAUACGGAGGGUGCAAGCGUUAAUCGGAAUUACUGGGCGUAAAGCGCACGCAGGCGGUCUGUCAAGUCGGAUGUGAAAUCCCCGGGCUCAACCUGGGAACUGCAUUCGAAACUGGCAGGCUAGAGUCUUGUAGAGGGGGGUAGAAUUCCAGGUGUAGCGGUGAAAUGCGUAGAGAUCUGGAGGAAUACCGGUGGCGAAGGCGGCCCCCUGGACAAAGACUGACGCUCAGGUGCGAAAGCGUGGGGAGCAAACAGGAUUAGAUACCCUGGUAGUCCACGCCGUAAACGAUGUCGAUUUGGAGGUUGUGCCCUUGAGGCGUGGCUUCCGGAGCUAACGCGUUAAAUCGACCGCCUGGGGAGUACGGCCGCAAGGUUAAAACUCAAAUGAAUUGACGGGGGCCCGCACAAGCGGUGGAGCAUGUGGUUUAAUUCGAUGCAACGCGAAGAACCUUACCUGGUCUUGACAUCCACAGAACUUUCCAGAGAUGGAUUGGUGCCUUCGGGAACUGUGAGACAGGUGCUGCAUGGCUGUCGUCAGCUCGUGUUGUGAAAUGUUGGGUUAAGUCCCGCAACGAGCGCAACCCUUAUCCUUUGUUGCCAGCGGUCGGCCGGGAACUCAAAGGAGACUGCCAGUGAUAAACUGGAGGAAGGUGGGGAUGACGUCAAGUCAUCAUGGCCCUUACGACCAGGGCUACACACGUGCUACAAUGGCAUAUACAAAGAGAAGCGACCUCGCGAGAGCAAGCGGACCUCAUAAAGUAUGUCGUAGUCCGGAUUGGAGUCUGCAACUCGACUCCAUGAAGUCGGAAUCGCUAGUAAUCGUAGAUCAGAAUGCUACGGUGAAUACGUUCCCGGGCCUUGUACACACCGCCCGUCACACCAUGGGAGUGGGUUGCAAAAGAAGUAGGUAGCUUAACCUUCGGGAGGGCGCUUACCACUUUGUGAUUCAUGACUGGGGUGAAGUCGUAACAAGGUAACCGUAGGGGAACCUGCGGUUGGAUCACCUCCUUACCUUAAAGAA
rnacentral:rRNA from 1 species